rnacentral:rRNA from 1 species
GACGAACGCUGGCGGCGUGCUUAACACAUGCAAGUCGAACGGAAAGGCCCUGCUUUUGUGGGGUGCUCGAGUGGCGAACGGGUGAGUAACACGUGAGUAACCUGCCCUUGGCUUUGGGAUAACUUCAGGAAACUGGGGCUAAUACCGGAUAGGAGCUCCUGCUGCAUGGUGGGGGUUGGAAAGUUUCGGCGGUUGGGGAUGGACUCGCGGCUUAUCAGCUUGUUGGUGGGGUAGUGGCUUACCAAGGCUUUGACGGGUAGCCGGCUUGAGAGGGUGACCGGCCACAUUGGGACUGAGAUACGGCCCAGACUCCUACGGGAGGCAGCAGUGGGGAAUAUUGCACAAUGGGCGGAAGCCUGAUGCAGCAACGCCGCGUGCGGGAUGACGGCCUUCGGGUUGUAAACCGCUUUCGCCUGUGACGAAGCGUGAGUGACGGUAAUGGGUAAAGAAGCACCGGCUAACUACGUG